CUGUUCCCUAGGGCAUCACAUAUAUAGUAAAACUGGAACGAUACAGAGAAGAUUGGCAUGGCCCUUGUGCAAGGAUGACACGCAGAUUCGUGAAGCUGUCCACAUUUUU
ensembl:snRNA U6 U6 spliceosomal RNA